AGGAGAAUGAGGCAAGCCAAGCUGUGAGGAGUCUGCGGGUCAAGGCUUUGGCAGCGUGGAACCUGGGACAUACAGUCCCCCUUGAUACGGCUGUUCGGCAGACCAACUUUGUUGUAAAUAUUUAGAUAAAAAUGGGCUUUAGAGCAGCCACAUCUGAAGACCCACAAGGCUGAAUGUUACACAGGGUACAAUCAGAAUCUGAUUGAAGAUAAACUCAUCCUAUUUGAGUCAGAGCAUUAGAAGAAAGAAAGAACUGACACUUCUCAAGUAGCUCAGAGGUUGAUGCUAAGACAAAAACCAACAGAGGGCUUAGAGCGGAUCAUGAGGUCAGGAGAUCAAGACCAUCUUGGCCAACAUGGUGAAACCCCAUCUCUACUAAAAAUACAAAAAAAAUUACCCGGGCAUGGUGGUGCAUGUGUGUAGUUCCAGCUACUCGGGAGGCUGGGGCAGGAGAAUUGCUUGAACCCAGGAAGCAGAGGCUACAUACAGUAAGCUGAGAUCAUGCCACUGCAUCCCAGCCUGGGCAACAGAGCAGGACUCCGUCUCAAAAACAAAACCUAAAACAAACAAAAAAAGAGAACAAGGCCUCAAAAUUAACAAAUAUCUGCUGAUUAACUUUUUUCACUAGCAGCAAAAAAAUUGGAAUAAUUCUGAACCAGUGAAAUAUCUCAUUAAAAACCCAAUUAAAAAGUCUGUGUACCCAAAAUGUAAGAAAGGCUUGCUCUUUAAGCACACAAUUGAAGCCUUUGAUGUCUACCUAGGAUUGCUCAUUUGAUCUCAUUUGAUGUACUCCUGGAAACUUAGUAAGUAUGUAUGCAUGAAGCAUGUUCAAGGUCGUAGGCAACCUUUUCCAAACUAAGUUCUUUGCCCUUCAUGGCUUUGUGGAAUUUAGAAAAUCAAUUAUAUUUUAUACUCUGAAAUAAAAGUUUCCAAUUUGGAAAGAUGUUUAAAGUCAACGGUUGUUUCUCCAAUAACUAACACAGAGCUUGGCAUACAGUAGGCACCUUAUAAAUUUCUCUUUGAGAGAAUGAAUAAAUGCCUGGGUAAAGCUAAUUGAUACAAAAGGGCUCAAUAAACUAUGUGAAUAUUAAAUGAAAAAAUGGAAAAACAAUUGGCCUCUAAUAACCACACAGAAAACUGAGUACAUGUUUUCUGCUCUUUCUGAUUUUCCAAAACACACAGUUAAGAAGUUUCUCAUGUAGCCUGACACAUAAAGGUUUAGAAUCUCAGCUGUUGGUCCAUGGAUGUUCGUAGAUGUGACUUAAACAGAUGCUUGAAUUGUGCUAUACAUUUAGGCUUGCUUUCCCGCUCUGUCUUCUGCCAUGAGAAGAACAUAUCUCACUAGCCACUGACCGGGACAAGGAAGAUGAGAAAUAGUCAUGGCAGAUCUAUACCCAGCCUAUAGCUCUGAGCGAAACUCUGAGUCAAACUCGGCCUGCAUUUUGCGGACUCCCUGCUGGCCUGAAAAAAUUCGUGUUCAUUGUGGAAAGCCA
rnacentral:lncRNA from 1 species